rnacentral:rRNA from 1 species
GACGAACGCUGGCGGCGUGCCUAAUACAUGCAAGUAGAACGCACAGUUUAUACCGUAGCUUGCUACACCAUAGACUGUGAGUUGCGAACGGGUGAGUAACGCGUAGGUAACCUGCCUGGUAGCGGGGGAUAACUAUUGGAAACGAUAGCUAAUACCGCAUAAUAUUAAUUAUUGCAUGAUAAUUAAUUGAAAGGUGCAAUUGCACCACUACCAGAUGGACCUGCGUUGUAUUAGCUAGUAGGUGAGGUAACGGCUCACCUAGGCGACGCUACAUAGCCGACCUGAGAGGGUGAUCGGCCACACUGGGACUGAGACACGGCCCAGACUCCUACGGGAGGCAGCAGUAGGGAAUCUUCGGCAAUGGACGAAAGGCUCACCGAGCGACGCCGCGUGAGUGAAGAAGGUUUUCGGAUCGUAAAGCUCUGUUGUAAGAGAAGAACGGGUGUGAGUGUGGAAAGUUCACACUGUGACGGUAACUUACCAGAAAGGGACGGCUAACUACGUG